rnacentral:rRNA from 1 species
GACGAACGCUGGCGGCGUGCCUAAUACAUGCAAGUCGAACGCAGUGGGGACGGGUGAGUAACACGUGGGUAACCUCCCAUCAGCGGGGAUAACACUUGGAAACAGGUGCUAAACCGAUACUGAUGGAUGGUCCCGAGGUGCAUUAGCAAGUGGGUGAUGUAACGGCUCACCAAGGCCACGAGGCAUAGCAGUCCUUGUAGGGUUGUGGGCCACACUGGGACUGAGAGACGGCACGGACUCCGACGAGAGGCAGCAGGAGGGAGUAUUCGGAAAUGGACGAAAGUCAGACCGAGAAACGCAACGUGGAUAAAGAAGUUGUUGGGAUCGUAAAACGCGGUUGUUAGAGAAGCGGUAUCUAACCAGAAAGCCACGGCUAACUACGUGCCAGCCGCCGCGGUAAUUA